rnacentral:lncRNA from 1 species
GGAGACGGUGUUCGGAUUACAGGAAUGGCUGUUGUCACUAUUGUUUUCGCAGCACUAGGAUUCAUGUCGCCUGCAUCAAGAGGAAUGUUACUAACCGGGAUGAUUAUUCUCUAUCUUUUCUUGGGUAUUGCUGCUGGUUACGCUGGUGUCCGGCUCUGGAGAACCGUCAAAGGAACUUCAGAAGGAUGGAGAUCACUAUCCUGGUCCAUCGCAUGCUUCUUCCCGGGUAUUGCUUUUGUUAUACUAACAGUCUUGAACUUCCUUCUCUGGAGUAGCAACAGCACUGGCGCCAUCCCAAUAUCACUCUACUU